rnacentral:lncRNA from 1 species
GAUAUGCUACAAGUUGGAUGGCGGCUUUGUUAUCACAGUGAAGUUGGAUUGGUCUGGAUAUAGGCACACCUAAAUCUUGCAACAAGCCAACUAACCACACAAGUUGUCGUGCUGUGAUAUUCAGCUUCUGCUGAGCUUCGACUGACUGUGUGCUGUUUUUUCGAUUUCCAUGAGAUCAAUGAGUUACUUAACUGAGCGCCUGAUAUUAGGACAAGUGGCCCACUUAGAGUUGCAGUAGGCUGUUAACUUAGUAGCUAAGGUCUGGCUUCGAAAUACCCCUAACAUGAGGGCGACCUUUGAUGUACCUUACUACCCUCAAUGCAACUUCCUAGCGUGACUUCUUUGGUUGAUGCAUGAAUACUGAGUACUUGUACUGUGAAACAAAUAUCUGGGCAUAUGAUGGUAAGAUAAAUCAGCUUUCCCACCAUCUUUUGAUAACUGCAUAUGUUUUCCAGUAAAGGAUCAUCAGUAUCACAUGUUAAUUCGUCAAAUUCAGUAGUGAUUAAUCUAGUAUUAGCCUAAAGUGGUGUUGAGGACGGAUUUGUACCACUGAGUCUAACAUCAGAAACUAGUUCUAAGGCAUACUUCCUCUGAUUGAGGAGUAUCCCUUGCUUUGACCUCAACACUUCUAUACCCCAAGAAAUACUUGAAAUCUCCGAGAUCAUUGACCUUAAAACUGUUGUGUAAGGUCUGUUAUGCCUCAUCAAUAAGGUCCUUGUCACUCCCAGUGAUAAGUAGGUCAUCAAUAUAGAGUAAAACGAUCACAACACAUUCUUCUCUCUAUUUAGUGAAUAGAGAAUGACCAUGUGGACUUUGGCAGUACCCAGCUUCCAAUAGAAUAAUGGUUAGCUUGAUAUUUCAUUGCUUCGAUGCUUGUUUAAGUCCAUAUAGAGACUUCAAAAGCUUGCAUACCAUAUACUUCCCAUGUCCAUGAAAACCUUAGGGAAAAUACAUAUAGACUUUCCGUUGAAGAGAAGCAUUGUUUAUAUCUAUUUGGUACAAAAACCAGUUCUUUGAAGUUGUCACACUGAUGAUUGUAACCAUUUUUCCCACUUGGGAGAAAGUUUCAUCGUAGUUUAGUCCUUCCCUUUGUGUGUAUUCCUUUGCCACUAAACGAGCCUUGUACUUUUUUAUAUCUCUAUUGGCCAUAUAUAUGUUAUUUUAUAGAUCCACUUUGAGCCUAUAGCCCUUUUUCCAGCAGGUAGUGAAACUAAUUCCCAAGUUUUGUUCCCUUCUAAUGCAUUAACUUUCUGAUGCAUUGCUUGAAUCCAGUUGUGAUCUGUAGAAGCCUACUUGAAUGACCCGGGCUCUGUUUACACAGAGAAAGAACCCACUUAGGCUUUACAUGUGGGAUUGAGAUGAGUGUAGGUCACAUAUUAAGAGAUAGGAUAAGAACAAUGAGCUUUUGGCUUGAAAGAAGUGACAUAGUCACUGAGCAAAUUGGAGGUCUGGUUGUUCUGCUUGGCCUACCAUAUGAGUCUACUUGAACAUGAUCAUGUUGCUCAUUGUUUUUAUCUCCUUCUACUGAUACUUCAAGUUAUUGGAUCUGAACCUAAUCGUGUCCUGUAACUGCAGGGGCUUCAUUUGUUUGAGGUUGAUCCACUGCUUUUCCUGCGUCAGGUGCUGCAUCAUUGGGCUUUUGUGAAUCAAUAACUCAAUAUUCCGCUUGUUGCAUUGUAUAUAGUAUUGUUGAAUACAUGGCUUCAUGUGUCAGUUCCUCUUCAGCAUGAUGCUCAGCAUGAGAAUCUUAUACAUGUGUCUGACUUACCCUUGUGUUCAUUGUCUCUUUGAAUAGAGGAAUGUCAGUCAUUUCCUCUUGUGUUUCAGUUUUGAAAGGAAAUAUUGAUCCCUUGAA